GACGAACGCUGGCGGCGUGCUUAACACAUGCAAGUCGAACGGUAAGGCCCUUCGGGGUACACGAGUGGCGAACGGGUGAGUAACACGUGGGUGAUCUGCCCUGCACUUCGGGAUAAGCCUGGGAAACUGGGUCUAAUACCGGAUAGGACUCCUGGCUUCAUGGUUGGGGGUGGAAAGCUUUUGCGGUGUGGGAUGGGCCCGCGGCCUAUCAGCUUGUUGGUGGGGUAAUGGCCUACCAAGGCGACGACGGUUAGCCGGCCUGAGAGGGUGACCGGGCACACUGAGACUGAGAUACGGCCCGGGCUCAUACGGGAAGCAGCGGGGGGGAAUAUUGCACAAUGGGCGCAAGCCUGAUGCAGCGACGCCGCGUGGGGGAUGACGGCCUUCGGGUUGUAAACCUCUUUCAGCCCCGACGAAGCGCAAGUGACGGUAGGUGCAGAAGAAGGACCGGCCAACUACGUGCCAGCCGCCGCGGUAA
rnacentral:rRNA from 1 species